rnacentral:rRNA from 1 species
GGAUUAGAUACCCUGGUAGUCCACGCCGUAAACGAUGUCUACUAGUUGUCGGUUGUCUUGUACGACGGGUAACGCAGCUAACGCGAUAAGUAGACCGCCUGGGGAGUACGGCCGCAAGGUUAAAACUCAAAUGAAUUGACGGGGGCCCGCACAAGCGGUGGAGCAUGUGGUUUAAUUCGAUGCAACGCGAAGAACCUUACCUACACUUGACAUGCAGAGAACUUUCUAGAGAUAGAUUGGUGCCUUCGGGAACUCUGACACAGGUGCUGCAUGGCUGUCGUCAGCUCGUGUUG